rnacentral:rRNA from 1 species
GAUGAACGCUGGCGGCGUGCCUAAUACAUGCAAGUCGAGCGAACAGACGAGGAUCUUGCUCUUCUGACGUUAGCGGCGGACGGGUGAGUGACACGUGGAUAACCUACCUAUAAGACUUGGAUAACUUCGGGAAACCGGAGCUAAUACCGGAUAAUAUUUUGAACCGCAUGGUUCAAUAGUGAAAGACGGUUUUGCUGUCACCUAUAGAUGGAUCCGCGCCGCAUUAGCUAGUUGGUAAGGUAACGGCUUACCAAGGCAACGAUGCGUAGCCGACCUGAGAGGGUGAUCGGCCACACUGGAACUGAGACACGGUCCAGACUCCUACGGGAGGCAGCAGUAGGGAAUCUUCCGCAAUGGGCGAAAGCCUGACGGAGCAACGCCGCGUGAGUGAUGAAGGUCUUCGGAUCGUAAAACUCUGUUAUUAGGGAAGAACAAAUGUGUAAGUAACUAUGCACGUCUUGACGGUACCUAAUCAGAAAGCCACGGCUAACUACGUG